rnacentral:rRNA from 1 species
GAUGAACGCUGGCGGCGUGCCUAAUACAUGCAAGUCGAGCGAACGGACGCGAAGCUUGCUUCUCUGAUGUUAGCGGCGGACAGGUGAGUAACACGUGGAUAACCUACCUAUAAGACUGGGAUAACUUAGGGAAACCGGAGCUAAUACCGGAUAAUAUUUUGAACCGCAUGGUUCAAAAGUAAAAGACGGUUUUGCUGUCACUUAUAGAUGGAUCCGCGCUGCAUUAGCUAGUUGGUAAGGUAACGGCUUACCAAUGCAGCGAUGCAUAGCCGACCUGAGAGGGUGAACGGCCACACUGGGACUGAGACACGAUCCAGACUCCUACGGGAGGCAGAGGUAGGGACUCUUGCGCGAUGGGCGGAAUCCUGACGGAGCAGCGCCGCGUGGGUGAUGAAGGGCUUCGGAUCGUAAGACUCUGUUAUUAGGGAAGAACAUUUGUGUAAGUGACUAUGCACAUCGUGACGGUACCUAAUCAGAAAGCCACGGCUAACUACGUG